GGCUCCUCCUGCACUACUGAUGAUGACUUGUCUACCUGAUGAAAAUUAAAACACUGGAAUCACAAUUCAGUUUUUAUCUUUUGCUCAUUUGUUCCUUCAGUUGAACACAGUGUAUGGCAUUGUUUCCCAUAGACUGGGCCGUUUUUUGUUUUUGUUUUGGGUCAUCUAGCCUCAUGUUUCCCAGGAGUUUACGAAUAAUGUCUAUUGACUUGGGUCGUGAAAGUUUGUGACUUUUAAAAUAUGGGUCCCCAGAAAAUAAGUUUUGGAAACACUACUGUAUGGUAAUAGGUAUAGUGUGGAUGAGAACAUACACAGACAUUUUACUGCUGUGUAACAGUUUUUUGUUUUUCAGUUGUUUCUGUACAUUGAUUAUUUAGUGUUGGUUUUCAUGAAUACAUUAACAUGUCAUGUAUUUCCCCUCAGAUUUCCAAUAAGAAUGAGGGGGAAAAUGGCUGUCAAUGAAGGACUUCAAGAGAAGCUUGUGGCACUUCCUUUCAUCAGUGCUCUCACAGGUGUGAUCACAAAGAGGAAUUAGCAUGUACUGGAAGAUGAAGGCACAAACUGCAGCUACAUAAAAACGCUUGUAGCGCUGCCAUAAAACAGUGUUCGUGUUACGGAGCUUCAGCAGAAUGAGCCUUUAACUCCAUCCUGACGCCCUGUUUGAAUUCAGCACUGUCGUCGCUGCGCACACAUGCGCAGAUCACCGCAGCAGUGACUAGACAUUCGGUCAUGAGAGCAGUGGAGGGGGCGCUCCAAGCACGUCUGAACACAUCGAGACUCGGAGGCACAUUAAAAAGAGCGUCAGAGCGCUAAUUGUGGCCGUUUUGCUCCUUCUUACUUCUCCCGCAGAAACCCGCCGGGGAGCACCGACGUGCGGCCGGGACCGUGCGUCCUGCUGACGCGGGUAGGUCAGUCGCACAAGCACGGUCCGCCAUUCCCCUCAUUCAUUUAUAUAUAAUUCAACAAGAAGCGCUGUCAUUUUGUUUCUGAGGAUGUUUCCCAGCCACGUCUGUGUUCAUGUGGAUAUGUGAUUAUUUGCCGGCAUUUAUCUUCAGUCCAGCUGCAGCUAUUUAAACAUUCAGACGCAACGAGCGGUUUGUCGCAGCAGAGCAGGUACAGACAGUCCUCUCUCUGACAGGCGCAGAA